rnacentral:rRNA from 1 species
AUUGAACGCUGGCGGCAUGCCUUACACAUGCAAGUCGAACGGCAGCACGGGGGCAACCCUGGUGGCGAGUGGCGAACGGGUGAGUAAUGCAUCGGAACGUGCCCAGGAGUGGGGGAUAACCCGGCGAAAGCCGGGCUAAUACCGCAUACGACCUACGGGUGAAAGCGGGGGACCGUAAGGCCUCGCGCUAUUGGAGCGGCCGAUGUCUGAUUAGCUAGUUGGCGGGGUAAAGGCCCACCAAGGCGACGAUCAGUAGCUGGUCUGAGAGGACGACCAGCCACACUGGGACUGAGACACGGCCCCGACUCCUACGGGAGGCAGCAGUGGGGAAUUUUGGACAAUGGGCGCAAGCCUGAUCCAGCCAUGCCGCGUGCGGGAAGAAGGCCUUCGGGUUGUAAACCGCUUUUGGCAGGAACGAAACGGCGCAAGCUAAUACCUUGCGCUAAUGACGGUACCUGCAGAAUAAGCACCGGCUAACUACGUGCCAGCAGCCGCUGUAACAC